UGGAAGUAAAAGUCGUAACAAGGUUUCCGUAGGUGAACCUGCGGAAGGAUCAUUACCGAGUGAGGGCCCUCUGGGUCCAACCUCCCACCCGUGUUUAUUUUACCUUGUUGCUUCGGCGGGCCCGCCUUAACUGGCCGCCGGGGGGCUUACGCCCCCGGGCCCGCGCCCGCCGAAGACACCCUCGAACUCUGUCUGAAGAUUGUAGUCUGAGUGAAAAUAUAAAUUAUUUAAAACUUUCAACAACGGAUCUCUUGGUUCCGGCAUCGAUGAAGAACGCAGCGAAAUGCGAUACGUAAUGUGAAUUGCAAAUUCAGUGAAUCAUCGAGUCUUUGAACGCACAUUGCGCCCCCUGGUAUUCCGGGGGGCAUGCCUGUCCGAGCGUCAUUUCUGCCCUCAAGCACGGCUUGUGUGUUGGGCCCCGUCCUCCGAUCCCGGGGGACGGGCCCGAAAGGCAGCGGCGGCACCGCGUCCGGUCCUCGAGCGUAUGGGGCUUUGUCACCCGCUCUGUAGGCCCGGCCGGCGCUUGCCGAUCAACCCAAAUUUUUAUCCAGGUUGACCUCGGAUCAGGUAGGGAUACCCGCUGAACUUAAGCAUAUCAAUAAGCGGAGGA
rnacentral:rRNA from 1 species